rnacentral:rRNA from 1 species
CUACGGGAUGCUCCAGUCGAGAAUAGUCUACAAUGGGGGAAACCCUGAUAGUGCAACGCCGCGUGGAGGAUGACGCAUUUCGGUGUGUAAACUCCUUUUAUAUGUCAAGAAAAUGACGGUAGCAUAUGAAUAAGCACCGGCUAACUCCGUGCCAGCAGCCGCGGUAAUACGGAGGGUGCAAGCGUUACUCGGAAUCACUGGGCGUAAAGGACGCGUAGGCGGGUUGGAAAGUCAGGUGUGAAAUCCUACAGCUUAACUGUAGAACUGCACUUGAAACUUCUAAUCUAGAGUAUGGGAGGGGGAGAUGGAAUUAGUGGUGUAGGGGUAAAAUCCGUAGAUAUCACUAGGAAUACCUAAAGCGAAGGCGAUCUCCUGGAACAUUACUGACGCUAAGGCGUGAAAGCGUGGGGAGCAAACAGGAUUAGAUACCCGGGUAGUC